AGGUCAGGAAAGCCUGAACUUUCUCAUCCAACACCCGUUCAAGUCGGAGGAUGCUGAUUAAUUCAUGAUGGAAAGGUAUCAAUUUCACAGCCCAGACCUCUACAUUCUUGAAAUGCUCUUCUCAUGGGAGACAUUAAAUAAGCUUUGAAUUAACUGAAUGUACAGGGUGUACCAUGAACAAUUCUGACAUGUGAUUUAAUCUAUGUGGGACUACAUUUUAAAUACAUUUGGGAAGGAUUGAACAAUGAAGUGGAGCCCAUCAAUAUUGGUACUGAAAAUGAGACAUAAGCCCUUAAGUAAAAGUGCCAUCAAAUGAUUUCUCAGAAAUUAUAAAGAAACAAAAGGACCAUAAACAAGAUAAGGUGGCAUGAGGAAACAUUACAAGUACCUUUCAGAGCUGACUGGCAAAGAAACUCCUGAGGUGACGGUUCUACCCCAAUAUUACUUCUUCGAAGAGCAACCUAACUGACCUUGUAUUGAAGACAGCGUAACCCCCAAGAGGAAAGGAGCUUGGAGCCCUGAAUCAGAGUAGAAGACAGGCUGAAUGAAUACCAGCCUUGGACUGUUGUGUGAAUGAAAAACAAGUUUUGAGAUUUGUGUGGUUUAUUUAUUAUAGUUACUGUUAUUAUUAAAGUUUUUCACUGCUUUACUCU
rnacentral:lncRNA from 1 species